rnacentral:rRNA from 1 species
CCAGCAGCCGCGGUAAUACGUAGGGUCCGAGCGUUGUCUGGAAUUACUGGGCGUAAAGAGCUCGUAGGUGGUUUGUCGCGUUGUUCGUGAAAACUCACAGCUCAACUGUGGGCGUGCGGGCGAUACGGGCAGACUGGAGUACUGCAGGGGAGACUGGAAUUCCUGGUGUAGCGGUGGAAUGCGCAGAUAUCAGGAGGAACACCGGUGGCGAAGGCGGGUCUCUGGGCAGUAACUGACGCUGAGGAGCGAAAGCGUGGGGAGCGAACAGGAUUAGAUACCCUGGUAGUCCACGCCGUAAACGGUGGGUACUAGGUGUGGGUUUCCUUCCUUGGGAUCCGUGCCGUAGCUAACGCAUUAAGUACCCCGCCUGGGGAGUACGGCCGCAAGGCUAAAACUCAAAGAAAUUGACGGGGGCCCGCACAAGCGGCGGAGCAUGUGGAUUAAUUCGAUGCAACGCGAAGAACCUUACCUGGGUUUGACAUGCACAGGACGCCGGCAGAGAUGUCGGUUCCCUUGUGGCCUGUGUGCAGGUGGUGCAUGGCUGUCGUCAGCUCGUGUCGUGAGAUGUUGGGUUAAGUCCCGCAACGAGCGCAACCCUUAUCUUAUGUUGCCAGCGCGUAAUGGCGGGGACUCGUGAGAGACUGCCGGGGUCAACUCGGAGGAAGGUGGGGAUGACGUCAAGUCAUCAUGCCCCUUAUGUCCAGGGCUUCACACAUGCUACAAUGGCCGGUACAAAGGGCUGCGAUGCCGUGAGGUGGAGCGAAUCCUCUCAAAGCCGGUCUCAGUUCGGAUCGGGGUCUGCAACUCGACCCCGUGAAGUCGGAGUCGCUAGU